GGCGCCCGAGUUGUAAUUUGUAGAGGAUGCUAUUGGGUUGCCACCGGUCUAAGUUCCUUGGAACAGGACGUCACAGAGGGUGAGAAUCCCGUAUGUGACCGGCCAGGCGCCUUCUGUAUAGCUCCUUCGACGAGUCGGGUUGUUUGGGAAUGCAGCCCUAAAUGGGAGGUAAAUUUCUUCUAAAGCUAAAUACCGGCCAGAGACCGAUAGCGCACAAGUAGAGUGAUCGAAAGAUGAAAAGCACUUUGGAAAGAGAGUUAAAAAGCACGUGAAAUUGUUGAAAGGGAAGCGCUUGCAAUCAGUCUCGACGGCGGCUGUUCGGCCUCUCUUCUGAGUGGUUUAUUCAGUCGCCGCCGGGCCAGCAUCAGUUUUGGCGGUCGGAUAAAGGCGUGGGGAAUGUAGCUCCUCCGGGAGUGUUAUAGCCCCGCGUGCAAUACGGCCCGCCGGGACUGAGGUCCGCGCUUCGGCUAGGAUGCUGGCGAAAUGGUUGUAAGCGGCCCGUCUUGAAACACGGACCAAGGAGUCUAACAUCUACGCGAGUGUUUGGGUGUCAAACCCGUGCGCGCAAUGAAAGUGAACGGAGGUGGGAACCGCAAGGUGCACCAUCGACCGAUCCUGAUGUCUUCGGAUGGAUUUGAGUAAGAGCGUAGCUGUUGGGACCCGAAAGAUGGUGAACUAUGCCUGAAUAGGGUGAAGCCAGAGGAAACUCUGGUGGAGGCUCGCAGCGGUUCUGACG
rnacentral:rRNA from 1 species